CCUACGGGAGGCAGCAGUAGGGAAUCUUCCGCAAUGGACGAAAGUCUGACGGAGCAACGCCGCGUGAGUGAUGAAGGUUUUCGGAUCGUAAAACUCUGUUGUUGGGGAAGAACAAGUACGAGAGUAACUGCUCGUACCUUGACGGUACCUAACCAGAAAGCCACGGCUAACUACGUGCCAGCAGCCGCGGUAAUACGUAGGUGGCAAGCGUUGUCCGGAAUUAUUGGGCGUAAAGGGCUCGCAGGCGGUUUUUUAAGUCUGAUGUGAAAUCUUGUGGCUUAACCACAAGCGGUCAUUGGAAACUGGAAGACUUGAGUACAGAAGAGGAGAGUGGAAUUCCACGUGUAGCGGUGAGAUGCGUAGAGAUGUGGAGGAACACCAGUGGCGAAGGCGACUCUCUGGUCUGUAACUGACGCUGAGGAGCGAAAGCGUGGGGAGCAAACAGGAUUAGAUACCCUGGUAGUCCACGCCGUAAACGAUGAGUGCUAGGUGUUAAGGGGUUUCCGCCCCUUAGUGCUGAAGUUAACGCAUUAAGCACUCCGCCUGGGGAGUACGGCCGCAAGGCUGAAACUCAAAUGAAUUGACGGGG
rnacentral:rRNA from 1 species